GACCCGCUCGACGAGUGGACGUGCCGGCCUCGUGGGCCGCCCGGUGACGUUCGACAAGUCGGCGGGUCGCC
rnacentral:tRNA from 1 species